GGCUCAGGAUGAACGCUGGCGGCGUGCUUAAUACAUGCAAGUCGAACGAACCUUCGGGUUAGUGGCGGACGGGUGAGUAACGCGUGGGAAUCUGCCCUCAGGAGGGGGAUAACGGUUGGAAACGGCCGCUAAUACCCCAUAUGCCGAGAGGUGAAAUGAAUUUCGCCUGAGGAUGAGCCCGCGUCUGAUUAGCUAGUUGGUGAGGUAAUGGCUCACCAAGGCAUCGAUCAGUAGCUGGUCUGAGAGGAUGAUCAGCCACACUGGGACUGAGACACGGCCCAGACUCCUACGGGAGGCAGCAGUGGGGAAUUUUCCGCAAUGGGCGCAAGCCUGACGGAGCAACGCCGCGUGAGGGAUGAAGGCCUCUGGGCUGUAAACCUCUUUUCUCAAGGAAGAAGAUCUGACGGUACUUGAGGAAUAAGCCACGGCUAAUUCCGUGCCAGCAGCCGCGGUAAUACGGGAGUGGCAAGCGUUAUCCGGAAUUAUUGGGCGUAAAGCGUCCGCAGGCGGCUUUUCAAGUCUGCUGUUAAAACGUGGAGCUUAACUCCAUCAAGGCAGUGGAAACUGAUUGGCUUGAGUGUAGUAGAUGCAGAGGGAAUUCCCGCUGUAGCGGUGAAAUGCGUAGAUAUCGAGAAGAACUCCAGUAGCGAAGUCGCUCUGCUGGGCCAUAACUGACGCUCAUGGACGAAAGCCAGCGGAGCGAAAGAGAUUAGAUACCCCUGUAGUCCUGGCCGUAAACGAUGAACACUAGGUGUCGGUCGAAUCGACCCCCUCGGUGUCGUAGCCAACGCGUUAAGUGUUCCGCGUGGGGAGUACGCACGCAAGUGUGAAACUCAAAGGAAUUGACGGGGGCCCGCACAAGCGGUGGAGUAUGUGGUUUAAUUCGAUGCAACGCGAAGAACCUUACCAGGGUUUGACAUCCUGCGAAUCUCUUGGAAACGAGAGAGUGCCUUUGGGAACGCAGUGACAGGUGGUGCAUGGCUGUCGUCAGCUCGUGUCGUGAGAUGUUGGGUUAAGUCCCGCAACGAGCGCAACCCACGUCUUUAGUUGCCAGCAUUUAGUUGGGCACUCUAGAGAGACCGCCGGUGAUAAACCGGAGGGAGGUGUGGAUGACGUCAAGUCAUCAUGCCCCUUACAUCCUGGGCUACACACGUACUACAAUGCUACGGACAAAGGGCAGCAAGUUCGCGAGGACAAGCAAAUCCCAUAAACCGUGGCUCAGUUCAGAUCGUAGGCUGCAACUCGCCUACGUGAAGAAGGAAUCGCUAGUAAUCGCAGGUCAGCAUACUGCGGUGAAUACGUUCCCGGGCCUUGUACACCCCGCCCGUCACACCAUGGAAGUUGGCCACGCCCGAAGUCGUUACUCCAACCCUUGUGGAGGAGGACGCCGAAGGUGGGGCUGAUGACUGGGGUGAAGUCGUAACAAGGUAGCCGU
rnacentral:rRNA from 1 species